rnacentral:rRNA from 1 species
AGCUUGCACAGGUGCCGCAUGGCUGUCGUCAGCUCGUGUCGUGAGAUGUUCGGUUAAGUCCGCUAACGAGCGCAACCCUCGCUGUGUGUUAUAUGUGUCACACGGGACUGCCGGUCUUAAGGCCGGAGGAAGGUGGGGAUGAUGUCAAGGUCAGCAUGGCCUUUAUAUCCUGGGCUACACACACGCUACAAUGGCCAACACAAUAGGUUGCUAAGCCGCGAGGUGGCGCCAAUCCAUAAAGUUGGUCUCAAGUUCAGAUUGUAGGCUGCAACCCGCCUGCAUGAAGAUGGAGUUGCUAGUAACCGCAGGUCAGCUAUACUGCGGUGAAUACGUUCCCGGGGCUU